UACGGGGGGGGCAAGCGUUGUUCGGAAUUACUGGGCGUAAAGGGCUCGUAGGUGGUCAACUAAGUCGGACGUGAAAUCCCUCGGCUUAACCGGGGAACUGCGUCCGAUACUGGAUGACUUGAGUUCGGGAGAGGGAUGCGGAAUUCCAGGUGUAGCGGUGAAAUGCGUAGAUAUCUGGAGGAACACCGGUGGCGAAGGCGGCAUCCUGGACCGACACUGACGCUGAGGUGCGAAAGCGUGGGGAGCAAACAGG
rnacentral:rRNA from 1 species